rnacentral:rRNA from 1 species
GACGAACGCUGGCGGCGUGGAUUAGGCAUGCAAGUCGGACGGUAGGGCUUUAUCGUAAGAUAGAGUUUGAGAGUGGCGAACGGGUGAGUAACACGUAGGAAUCUACCCUUAAGACGGGGACAACCCAGGGAAACUUGGGCUAAUACCGGAUGAGAGUGCGAGAGAUUGCAUUUAAAAGGAUGGCGAAAGUUGUCGCUUAGGGAUGAGCCUGCGGUCUAUUAGUUAGUUGGUGAGGUAAGAGCUCACCAAGGCGAUGAUAGAUAGGCGGCCUUAACGGGUGGUCGCCCACACUGGGAUUGAGAUACGGCCCAGACUCCUACGGGAGGCAGCAGUGGGGAAUUUUGGACAAUGGGGGAAACCCUGAUCCAGCCAUGCCGCGUGCAGGAUGAAGGCCUUCGGGUUGUAAACUGCUUUUGUACGGAACGAAAAGGUCCUUUCUAAUAAAGAGGGCUCAUGACGGUACCGUAAGAAUAAGCACCGGCUAACUACGUGCCAGCAGCCGCGGUAAGCACGAGAGUA